rnacentral:rRNA from 1 species
GAUUAACGCUGGCGGCGUGCAUAACACAUGCAAGUCGAACGAUGAAACUUAGUCGACUUCUUCGGAAAGACACUAAGCGGAUUAGUGGCGAACGGGUGAGUAACGCGUGAGUAACCUGCCUUACACAAGGGGAUAGCCUUUGGAAACGAAGAAUAAUACCCUAUAAAACCAUAAAAGCACAUGCUAGAAUGGUCAAAGUGAUAGCGGUGUAAGAUGGACUUGCGUCUGAUUAGCCAGUUGGUGAGAUAAAAGCUCACCAAGGCAACGAUCAGUAGCCGGCUUGAGAGAGUGUACGGCCACAUUGGGACUGAGGCACGGCCCAGACUCCUACGGGAGGCAGCAGUGGGGAAUUUUGCACAAUGGGGGAAACCCUGAUGCAGCGACGCCGCGUGAUUUAGAAGGCCUUCGGGUUGUAAAAAUCUUUUGUAUAGGAAGAAAAUGACAGUACUAUACGAAUAAGGUCCGGCUAAUUACGUG